GGGUUGGAGCACUCGAAGUUUGACCAAUGAUUAUGCGUCCACUGGCAAUUUCCUCUUUGUCAGCGGAGUUUUCAAUCUGUUUCUGAGCUUCAAAGAAGAACAUCACAUCUCUAAGCUGCUCUCCACCUACCAAACUCAUCCUCGUCUUAUACACCUUGAAAUACUGUCGCAGAAUUAGGAGUUGGCUUAUACUGGAACAAUUUUGUAAUUCGAUCAGAAUAGUAUUUUUUUAUGUAUACAUUCAGGCAUGUGUAGAAAUUUUUUUGAUGAUGAUUCAUUCUAACGAAACAUUGUUAUUCAUGACCAGAGUUAAAGGUGUGCUUUGUGUACAAUUUGUGGUUUACAAAAUAUUUCGAAAACGACACAUCUGACUUGCUAAAUAUUUCCAUGAAAUGUUUUUGGUUAGUUAUCCUCGUUCACAUGACGGGAUUUUUUUUUUUAUUGAACUAGUUUUCUCUUAAUUGAUUGAGAAGGGUCGAAAAUUUUGGACAAAAACGUACAUCAACUUCAAAAAAAUGUCUAAAAAAAGGCUCUGACACCACGAGAAAAAACUGUCUAAAAACAUUUUGUGAAUAUGUGAAGCUCAUGGCUCUAGCCAUUUUACAGAUAUUCUGGGAACCACAAACCAUGUCUGCGAGGAACACGUUUGACACCAGCCAGAACAACAACGCUUCGACAGAUUUAAUCCCCAUGAAAAAAAUGUGACUGUCAGCUAAGGGUUCCGGAGUCUGUGCGUAGCGACAGACUGGACACGAGGUAUCACCCCAUUUGACCAAGCAGCUGGAGUGAAAAGCGUGGUUGCAUAAUAUGGUCAAAAUUCCAUCCACGCUUUCAUCCAUUCUUUCCAGGCAGACCGGACAAGAUGGUAGCUCUGUAUGACCUGCGAGUGGCAAACCGCCAUCUCCUACUUCAACCCGGGAGACGAACACCAUGUGACAGACAAUUUCAGGUUCUAAAGAAUUAUAUGGAGCUCCGUUAAAUGUCUCGUAAAACUCACUUGCUGCCACCUGAAAUAAUUAAUGAUAUUUGGGCAUGAUAUAAUGUCUUGAUAAAACCUUUGAAUCAAAGAAAAACUUAUAACACAUAGAUCUUGAAAAAUGCAAAAUUUGUUCAAGGUUAAAACAUUGAAGAAAUUAUUCGUUUUAAUGAGAAUCAUUUUUUUUUAAAUUCUACGCAAUCAAUUUCAAACAUCUUUAUAAGACUCAUGUUUCUCUUUUAAUUGCUAUAAGUGAAGAAAUUGUACUAUUUCUGCAAGUUGUUUGACCUAUUGAGAAUUACUUUAUAAGUAAGUAGAUGUUCUAGCGUUUAUCUAGACCCUGAGUUACGCUUUAACUAAGUUACGCCCUACUAUUUACGCUUUAAUAUUGAUAUAGCACCUUUUAAAAUGUUAAUAUGUCAGAGUAUUUUGUACUAAUAUUUUUUCACUUGAAACUAGUAGUCUAAUAAAGACGAAAAAUUUGUUAUAAUGUAGACAAAAUAAAGUUCUAUCAAAUGCAAAAUACUAACAGCUGAUCGGAACGUCAGCAAAGCCAUGUAUUGAUUGGGACUACCAUCUCUGAUAAUCCUAAAGUGUUGAAUGUCCUGGUGACAGGCAGCAGUAAAUGUAAGCAGAUCAUGGCACGUCAUUGUU